rnacentral:rRNA from 1 species
UACAGAGGGUGCAAGCGUUGUCCGGAAUUAUUGGGCGUAAAGAGCUCGUAGGCGGUCUGUUGCGUCUGCCGUGAAAACCCGAGGCUUAACCUCGGGCCUGCGGUGGAUACGGGCAGACUAGAGGUAGGUAGGGGAGAAUGGAAUUCCCGGUGUAGCGGUGAAAUGCGCAGAUAUCGGGAGGAACACCGGUGGCGAAGGCGGUUCUCUGGGCCUUACCUGACGCUGAGGAGCGAAAGCGUGGGGAGCGAACAGG